AUUGAACGCUGGCGGCAUGCUUUACACAUGCAAGUCGAACGGCAGCGCGGGGCAACCUGGCGGCGAGUGGCGAACGGGUGAGUAAUAUAUCGGAACGUACCCAGAAGUGGGGGAUAACGUAGCGAAAGUUACGCUAAUACCGCAUACGAUCUACGGAUGAAAGUGGGGGACCUUCGGGCCUCAUGCUUGUGGAGCGGCCGAUAUCUGAUUAGCUAGUUGGUGAGGUAAAGGCUCGCCAAGGCGACGAUCAGUAGCUGGUCUGAGAGGACGACCAGCCACACUGGGACUGAGACACGGCCCAGACUCCUACGGGAGGCAGCAGUGGGGAAUUUUGGACAAUGGGCGCAAGCCUGAUCCAGCAAUGCCGCGUGAGUGAAGAAGGCCUUCGGGUUGUAAAGCUCUUUUGUCAGGGAAGAAACGGUUCGGGCUAAUAUCCUGGGCUAAUAACGGUACCUGAAGAAUAAGCACCGGCUAACUACGUGCCAGCCGCCGCCGUAAUAC
rnacentral:rRNA from 1 species